UCUGUAUGAGGCCUGGGGGCUACAACUGGUAGUCCCUCAAAACUGGGCUGGAGAAUUAAGAAGAGAGAAGCUGUGAUACUACACAAAAUCUAAGCUAAGUGCUGCAGCCUGCUCUACACAUCACCACACUCUGGGAACAGAACAGCUUCCAAAGCACUGGAGCCCUACGGACUCGCACCAUCUUUCCCUCCGGAAGAACCUCAACAUCUCUGCGAGACAGGUCCCUAAGGCACCAUGUUGCACACAGUCCAGCUCUCCUGUUGCCAGGGUUCCAG